GGAGGAAAGGGAGGGAGGGAAGGGGGAGAAGAGCGGAGGGAAGGAGGUGGCAAGCUGGGGACGAAAUCCUGCUCUGGGUUAUGGCCGGCGUAAAUUUCCAUUGGCUGGGGGUGCACAAGGUGCUCGGAGAGAGGAGUCGGUGCAGGAUGGAGUCCCUUUGUGUGUGUGUGUGUGUGUGCCGUGUGCUGUGUGUGCGGGGCUCGCACCCUCCUCUCCCGGGCGAGCCGCUUUUUCUCCAGGUUUUCCUUUGAAGCCCCGGCCGGCGGCUGGCAGGGGAGGGCGGCCGGGGCUGCGGCGCUGCUGCCCGCGCCCUUCCUCCCUCCUCCUCCUCCUCCUCCACCUCCUCCUCCUCCUCCUCCUCCUCCUCCUCCCCGCUGACAGUCUGGGGCUCGCUCCGGCACCGGGCUGGCCCCGGCUCCCGCAGCCCCCCAGCCCCGUCUCUUCAUCAUAAUAAUAAUAACAACAGCAGCAGCGGCGGCAGCGGCAUUGCCGGGCAGCGCGGAGGGCGGCAGGCGAGAGGAGCUGCGGAGGAAUUCGGUUCCUUUUCCUUUCCUCCCCCCACCCCCUCAACCAACCCCCCCACCACCACCUCCUUUUUUUUUUUUUUUCUCCCUUUUCCCUGCUAUACCCCCCUAAUUUUUUUUUAACCCAAAAAAAAAAAAAGAGAGAGAGAGAGAAAAAAAAAAAGAUGUUUUAAAAAUGCGAGCGGCUUGCCCAGCUGCACACACCCGCCCUCCCUCGGCCGCCUCCCUCCCCCGGCUGCGCACACACCGCACGCUCGCAGCCGCUCGGGUGUCAAACCCCGCCGGGCACCCAGCCUGCUGCGGGCACUGCCCCGGCCCCCCCGGCCCUUCCCAGCGCCGCCGACCGGAGCCUCCCCCGCUUCCAAAUGACACCAACACUGACCCAGCCCUGGUGCUCUGUGCUGCUGCCUCCCUCUGCAAGGUGGACAGAAGGGCAAGGAGGAGAAGCUCAGCUCCUGGCAGAAUCUCCAGACUGCUCCCUCUGGCUGCUCCAAGAAGCUGAACUUCCCCUGGAAGCUGUGCCUGCUGCUCCCAGGCCACUGCACCCUUCUCACUUGACUGCCCUGCUGGUAGCUUCACUUUUAGGAAUGAAUUAUGCAAGAAAUGCUGUGAAGCAUCAGAAAUGCUGAGGAUUGAGAAGAGUCCUCUCGGUGCACAAACUCGUUUGUGGAUAAAGUCACACUCACCUGGAUUCCAGCUCCUCCAGAACAGGCCACGAGGUGUGGAAAGGAUCACGAAUUAAUCAGUGGACUUUGGUUUUGCUUUGCUGUGCUUGUAUCAUGUCUGAACAUGCAAAGAACUUGGUUUUCCUCAAGGAAUCCAGUAAAUGGCACCUCUGUGAAUCAGUUA